UACGUAGGGGGCAAGCGUUGUCCGGAUUUACUGGGCGUAAAGAGCGUGUAGGCGGCCACGCAGGUCCGUUGUGAAAACUGGAGGCUCAACCUCCAGCUGUCGACGGAAACCGUGUGGCUAGAGUCCGGAAGAGGAGAGUGGAAUUCCUGGUGUAGCGGUGAAAUGCGCAGAUAUCCGGAGGAACACCGGUGGCGAAGGCGGCUUCCUGGACCGACACUGACGCUGAGGCGCGAAAGCUAGGGGAGCAAACGGG
rnacentral:rRNA from 1 species